GUUCUAAAAAAAUAAUUUUUGAAAAUUUUUUUCAAUAUGAAACAACCGUUGUACUCUAAAAUCUUUAAACUGAUAAAAAAUAGUAUUUAAAUAUUUUUAUAUUUAAUACUCCUCUCACGUUUGGAUUUGAGACUUUUAUAGACUAAUGAUAUGGACUUGAAUUAAAUGUAAGAAAAUUAAUAAUGGUAGGAGUAUGGCGUGACUCGAACUCAAAACCUGCUGGUCUGAUAUAACGUAAAAUAAUACGAAACAACUAUUGUACUCUAAAAGUUUAAAAUAAUAAAGAACGAUAUUUAAAUAUUUCCUCAUGCGUAGACUCGAGAUUUUUUGUAGGCUCAUGACGUGAACUUAAAUAAAAUGUGCGAAAAUUAAUAAUAACAGAAGCCUGACGUCAUAUGACUGGAACUCAGAAUCUUCUACUCUGUUAUCAUAUUAGAUAAUACAAAAUAACCAUUGUACUCUAAACACUUUAUCUGAUAAAGAGCAGUGUUUAAAUAUUUUUGUAUUUAACGCUUCAUAUACCAAUUAUCGAGGCUUUUGCCAAAUGCGUAAGAAAGUUGAAAGUAGAUAUUUACAAAAGUAUAUUUUUGUGUUAAUGCAUGCAAUGGGAAGACUUAGGUUGAAAUAAAAUUAAAAUUUAAAGUAAGAAGGGUAACGUUCGAUUCAGAAGGGUAACGUACGUAAUUGUGUUUGAAAUANAUUUAAAGUUUGAAAUAUAUUUUUCAAAAUUUAAAAUUUAAAAUUUAAAAGUUAAAAUUUAAAAAUUCAAAAAUGAAUCUAAAAAAUUAAAAUUUAAAAUUAAAUUUAAAUUUAAAUAUUAAAAAUAAAAAUUGGAAGGCUAUAUUAAAAAUCAGAAUCAGAUUUCAAGAAGCAGCUUUUUUCUGCUUUUGAUUAUGGGACCUUCAAAAUCAGUUUUCUGAUUGUAAAAAGUAGAAUCAAAUUUUAAAAAUGAGUUGUCAAACACUCUAUUGAAUCGAAAAUCACUUUUCAGUCUAAAAGCGCAUUUUAAAAGCUAGGCCAAACACCCCCUUAAUUAAUCCGUGCACACCAGUA
rnacentral:lncRNA from 1 species